rnacentral:lncRNA from 1 species
AAGAAAUUCCACAACAAAACCAUGGGGCAAAUCAAAGAUGCACCUCCCAUGAUAAACCCUAGAAAUGAAAUGAAGACAUACAGUGUGUGUGGCAGGAGGGCCGUGGGGAGGGGAUGCAGGUCAGAUAUGAUUGGAACGCCAGUGUCCCAGUUGUCCCCUGCACACUGGUCUCGGGGAGCUGGGUCAAGGCAGCCAAGUUGAAAGCCAAACACAGACAGCAGCUGUUGAGAAUGUAAAGUUUCUGGCCAGAGUGGGUAGGGAGCUGGGUGUGGUUGCCCAAAGGCCAAUUUCCACCCCACCCUACAGGCCCAGGGACGGCAGGAGAGGAGACAACUUCCCAUGCUGCAUUCCAGUCCUCCUCUCUGGGCUUAGUGGGAACAUCUCUGAGAAUGCUGGAGAGUGACUGCCAACUGCCUGUUGCACCACACACCUCCCUCAACAUCAUCAGCCCUGGAAGACACCGAGGUUCUGAGAAUGCCACGUCCAGAGAGCCAGGAUACAGGACUGACCUGCAACUACCACACAGUCCCAGCUGUAGCCCUGGCAUCAAAUACAGGUCCCUCGGCCAACACAAAGUCAAGGUACCUCUCCUUAUUCUUUCUGUGGUCUUCUGAUCUCCUGCAAGGAACUCUUAGAUCACACAAACACACAACCCAAAGACAAAUC